AGUGAAAGCGGCUCUUUCCCAUGCUCUCAGUUACAGCUUGCUGCAGCUCACUUUGUUGCCUGGAUGUCUUUGCACUGACUUGACUCUCUUUGCAGGGUCAUCAAUGAGCUCAUUGGAAACCUUGUCGGACAUCUUUAUUUCUUCCUGAUGUUCAGAUACCCAAUGGAUUUGGGAGGAAGGAAUUUUCUGUCCACACCUCAGUUUUUGUACCGCUGGCUACCCAGCAGGAGAGGAGGGGUGUCAGGCUUCGGUGUGCCCCCUGCAAGCAUGAGGCGAGCUGCUGAUCAGAAUGGCGGAGGUGGGAGACACAACUGGGGCCAGGGCUUCCGACUUGGAGACCAGUGAGGAGCAGCCCUGGCCUGCUCACCAGCCAUGCUAAGCAGAUGACAGUCUCCUCCCAGUGCUGGGCACGCUUAAUGGCCGAGCUCUUGCUGCCGCUCUUGGACCUGACCCACACUGAAUGUAGUCUUUUGGUACAAGACACAUUUUUAAAUCCCGAAGGAAAAUACAAGUGUUCCUCAAGU
rnacentral:lncRNA from 1 species